ACUCUCUUUUAUCAAUUUCUUCAUCUUGGUUUAAUUUCACAAUUUAGGGUUUCUAACCAAUCGAAUUUGGGAAUUUUCACCAGAAGAGAAAAUGGCUUUCAUAAUGGAAUUCGCUGAGAAUUUAGUUUUGAAAUUGAUGGAAGAUCCAAACGAAAGAGAUCGUAGAUUCAGAGAACACGUGUAUAAAACGAAGGAUAGAUGCGCAAAGACGAAGGAAAUGUGGAGUUACCCUAUGCGACCAUAUGGGUUUUGGACAUUCGAACGCCACAAUUCUCAGCUUGCUUGGGAUGCACAGAUUAGUCAAGUUGCUGGUCGAAGAGAUCCUUAUGAUGAUAUCCUUCAACAUUACCCUGCUCAACCACCUAAAUGAGUGGUACUGAACUUGUUUCAACUCACAAGCGUUCUUAGUGAAAAAGUGGGAAUCUUUGUCAUAUUUCCUUGUUUAAUUACCUGUCCGAUUGCAUGUUGCAUAGACUAUUCCGGGUUUGUAAUGCACUAUAUUGGUAUUUUCAAAUAAAGGUUCGAUAGAACUAUGGUGUUAUAUUAAACUUUUGUCCAUUGAGGAUUUAAA